rnacentral:misc_RNA from 1 species
AAAGUCGUAACAAGGUUUCCGUAGGUGAACCUGCGGAAGGAUCAUUAUUGAGAUAGUCAGAAGCCUAUUAGGUCACCCAAACGCUUGAAAUAUUAGCGGAAUGGGCAGUAAUACAAUCGGCAUGACCGUUUGAAUCCAAGGGCAGCUAUCCACCCGUGUAUAUAUACUCUGUUGCGUUCCUUGGCCGGUCGAUUCAAUCCCCAGGCCCAGGAGAACCGAAACCAUCUUGAAUUUUAUGGAACGUCUGAGUACUAUAUAAUAGUUAAAA